rnacentral:ncRNA from 1 species
ACAAGAGGGGUGCCAAAUUUGAAUAUGGCUGAGAUUAUACCCUAUGAACCUGAGACGGAUAAUACCGGCGUAGGAACAUUGUUCA